GGACCGGCCUCAGUGCUGCAGAUGGGGUACACUUGUUGGGUCUCGGUUGGCCUCAGUGCUGCAGAUGGGGUACACUUGUUGGGUCUCGGAAAAGGCCUUGUUUUUGAAGGUUGGGGGAGGCUGAGCAGAGUAAGGGGUCAUCCGCUAGGGCAGUGGUGGUAGCUUGCUCCUGGGGAUGGUCAAUGGCCUAACAAUGAGGAUUUGGUGAUAGCCUAAUGGCGGCUUGGUGAGAGGUUGUGAGCCAGAAUAUUGCAUCCUAAUUGGGG